rnacentral:lncRNA from 1 species
GAGGGGGGUCGUUCUUGGGGAGGGGUUCGUUCUCCGGGAGGGGGUGUUCCCUCUGGGGGGGGUUCCUUCUGGGGAAGGAGGGACCUUCUUGGGGAGGAGCAUUUGUGAAGAUGCCCUGGUGUCCGGUGGCUGAGAUCCAGCAGGAAGCCAGGGCUCACCUCGGGGUGCCUGCUCCUUAGUCCCCCUCCCCCGACCGCAUCCAAGAGGAGGGUCCUCUCCGAGACUGCGGUGUGUCUCAGGGAUUCUAUGUGACCCACCGUCCCCGCUCUGGGCUCAGCUUCCUAGAAGCUUGAUGGGGUAGACACUGAACAUCCUUGCUCACUGAUGAGACCGAACCAUCCCUUCUUGAGGCCGGUUUCCCCAUCAGUGAACUAGGGGUUCAGGGAAAUGGCCCUUCUUUUUGAUGUAACAACAACAGUAAUAAUAACAAUGGCGUCUUCCUAUAACCAGCCACACCCGGUCCCACAUGAGCAUCACACUGCCCUAUGUGGUCCAUUAAAGACAGCCUUUCUCGGGUGAACACCCUGAGGCUCAGAGAGGGGACUCGCCCCAGGUCGCACAGCCUGGAAAGUGGGACCAGACACGAGCCCAGGAGAGGACGCAUUGGUUCCCUGGAUUCUCUCCUCACUGCGCAUGCCUGCUGCCCCCUUGCUGAUCACCGUUGUGGUGGGGUGAGGCCGGGCUGGGAAUAACGGCAGCAGACACUGAUGUGGCACUGAGUGCAGAAAAUCAGAUAAUCAAGGAAGUCACAUACCGUGAAAUGAGUGUGAUCCUCGCCAGAAACCCAGAGGGAGCACUGGAGAAUCAACGCACGGGAAGCGCAGGAGUGGGACCCAGCCCCUCGUCUUACAGGCAGGGAAACUGAGGCUCAGAACCCAGCAGGAAGAGCACACAGAGAGGCUCCCACCCCCUUGCCCAGCAUUUAUUGAGGGUCUUCUGUGUGGCAGGUUCUGUGUUAGGGGCCUGUUCAAUCCCUGUGCUCCCGGAGCUCAGGGUCUGCUGAGAGGGGUCCUCUGUGAGCCAGUCCUAUUACCAUUGUUCAAUUCUGAUCCAGGAGGGCUUCCCUGAGGAGGAGACCUCAGCUUCACUGAGACCUGAUGUUAAGUAGGAGUUGGUGACGCUGGUGGGAAGAGCAUUUCAGGCAGAGGGUGAAACAUGUGCAAAGGCCCUGGGGCAUGAAGGAGUUUGGCUCAGGAGAGUAGAAAAGAAGCGAGAAGCCUGCUGCAGAGUGAGGGGGAGC